rnacentral:rRNA from 1 species
GCUUGCUCCCUGAUGUUAGCGGCGGACGGGUGAGUAACACGUGGGUAACCUGCCUGUAAGACUGGGAUAACUCCGGGAAACCGGGGCUAAUACCGGAUGCUUGUUUGAACCGCAUGGUUCAGACAUAAAAGGUGGCUUCGGCUACCACUUACAGAUGGACCCGCGGCGCAUUAGCUAGUUGGUGAGGUAACGGCUCACCAAGGCGACGAUGCGUAGCCGACCUGAGAGGGUGAUCGGCCACACUGGGACUGAGACACGGCCCAGACUCCUACGGGAGGCAGCAGUAGGGAAUCUUCCGCAAUGGACGAAAGUCUGACGGAGCAACGCCGCGUGAGUGAUGAAGGUUUUCGGAUCGUAAAGCUCUGUUGUUAGGGAAGAACAAGUGCCGUUCAAAUAGGGCGGCACCUUGACGGUACCUAACCAGAAAGCCACGGCUAACUACGUGCCAGCAGCCGCGGUAAUACGUAGGUGGCAAGCGUUGUCCGGAAUUAUUGGGCGUAAAGGGCUCGCAGGCGGUUUCUUAAGUCUGAUGUGAAAGCCCCCGGCUC